rnacentral:rRNA from 1 species
CCUACGGGAGGCAGCAGUAGGGAAUCUUUCACAAUGGGCGAAAGCCUGAUGGAGCAACGCCGCGUGCAGGAUGAAGGCCUUCGGGUUGUAAACUGCUUUUAUAAGCGAGAAAUAUGAUGGUAACUUAUGAAUAAGGAUCGGCUAACUACGUGCCAGCAGCCGCGGUCAUACGUAGGAUCCGAGCAUUAUCCGGAGUGACUGGGUGUAAAGAGUUGCGUAGGUGGCAUAAUAAGUAGCUAGUGAAAUCUGGUGGCUCAACCAUUCAGACUAUUAGCUAAACUGUUAAGCUCGAGACCGUUAGGGGUAACUGGAAUUUCUAGUGUAGGAGUGAAAUCCGUAGAUAUUAGAAGGAACACCAAUAGCGUAGGCAGGUUGCUGGGACGGUUCUGACACUAAGGCACGAAAGCGUAGGGAGCAAACGGGAUUAGAUACCACUGUAGUC